UACAGAGGUCCCAAGCGUUGUUCGGAUUCAUUGGGCGUAAAGGGUGCGUAGGCGGCGCGGUAAGUCGGGUGUGAAAUCUCGGGGCUUAACUCCGAAACUGCAUUCGAUACUGCCGUGCUUGAGGACUGGAGAGGAGACUGGAAUUUACGGUGUAGCGGUGAAAUGCGUAGAUAUCGUAAGGAAGACCAGUGGCGAAGGCGGGUCUCUGGGCCUGACCUGACGCUGAGGAGCGAAAGCGUGGGGAGCGAACAGG
rnacentral:rRNA from 1 species